UUGAAUAUUUAUUUACGUAAUUAAUUAAGAUUUUAAUAUCGAAGUAUUAAAAGAGCUUUAUUUGAAUAUUCGAAUAUUCAUAUUUAUAUACAUUCUAUUCUCAAAAUGGAAUAUUCAAAUAAUAAGAAAUUAUAUUCAAUAAUAAGAAAUUAUUUAUCUCUUCAUUAUAUCAAUAAACUUUGAAUAUCCUUCAAAUAUUUAUACAAGAAGUUUUUUUCUAAAGAUUAGGUAUUCAAAUCUUUACUAUUAACCAGUUUUCAACAGUACUAUGCAAAAAUACAUUACUACGUGAAUGAGAUUAAUUUCACGUUUUGGCAACACCUGACACGCGUCCUGUGUUCUUUCCAAGCAAUUUUGUUCCUCGAGAAGGCAAGUCGCGCGAUCGUUACCAACGACACGGCUAUCCUUUCACGAUCACCUGCUCUUUCAGCGUAUGCAAUUUUGUUACGCCUCCUGUUCACUGCUCGCGCCGAGAAAAAAAAAAGGCACAAAAGUUACCCGACGCUCGAACAACAUGCUCCGUUCGACUUUGAAACCAAUUAAGACUUCCGAUAAUAUUGGUCGCGCAUCUGCGUCCAGCAUUCACCUUCCCCAUUCCAUUCCCCUUUCGAGAAGAAUUCGCUCACGCUCGCCAUUCUAUGCGGUAAAUGAUGCACCGCGAAACUCUUGAUGAAAGAAAAAACCACGUGAACGAGAUAGACCACAGCGCCACACUAUGGCGUGACACAACGAGUCUCAAGAUAAAAGAUAAGAAUGGUUGUGAAGUUGGCCGCAGCCGCGACACGAUCCGAGUAGCUGGAAUCGCACAGUCACGCUGGCGCCAGUCGUAUCGGUAACUCUAUAUCGAUUCAAAGGCACGGUUGUCGACUCUUGCAGUCCCAGUGGGGAUACACGGCCGCCCAGUUAGCCGAGCACCAAUGUAUUUAUACGACGCUGCCCGAGGUAUAUACAUCUGUUUCCAUCCGGGCACGUGUCAACCACAAAAUUAGAACGGUCGGGAAAAGAAAAGACGGGAAAACGAUCCAAAUUAAGCAUAGCGAAAACUUAUGAAUACUUAUGAAUAUCAAAGAAAUUGAAAUGUAUUUGAUGUAAUCGAAUUUUCUCAUCUCAUUUAUAUUUGUAAUUCGAUUUGUGAGGAAUGAAAAUUAUGUGAAAUAAAAUAUCUCAUUAUUUUUAGUCAAUGAUUUAAUAUAAAA